GACGAACGCUGGCGGCGUGCUUAACACAUGCAAGUCGAACGGAAAGGCCCUGCUUUUGUGGGGUGCUCGAGUGGCGAACGGGUGAGUAACACGUGAGUAAACUGCACUUGACUUUGGGAUAACUUCAGGAAACUGGGGCUAAUACCGGAUAGGAGCUCCUGAUGCAUGGUGGGGGUUGGAAAGUUUCGGCGGUUGGGGAUGGACUCGCGGCUUAUCAGCUUGUUGGUGGGGUAGUGGCUUACCAAGGCUUUGACGGGUAGCCGGCCUGAGAGGGUGACCGGCCACAUUGGGACUGAGAUACGGCCCAGACUCCUACGGGAGGCAGCAGUGGGGAAUAUUGCACAAUGGGCGGAAGCCUGAUGCAGCAACGCCGCGUGCGGGAUGACGGCCUUCGGGUUGUAAACCGCUUUCUCCUGUGACGAAGCGUGAGUGACGGUAAUGGGUAAAGAAGCACCGGCUAACUACGUG
rnacentral:rRNA from 1 species